UCACCUCCUCACCCCUCACUCUUGCUAACCCAAGCUGCUGCAGGUGCCAAAUGGAAACUUCCAUGGGGCUUCCUAAUGAACACGUGGUGUGGCGGCGACAGGAGUGCUCUCUCCUCUGGAAUUCGUGUAUUAUCUGAAUGGGGCGGGUGGGGUUGGGGCAGGAGGCUGACAGUGCGCCCAGACAUUUCUGAUCCCAUGUUUUUAAUGGAAUACCCUUCCUCCCAUAGAGCCAAGUGCCCCUAGCAUGUUGUCCCUGGCCUCUGGGUCUCAGAAGUGGCAGUGACCCUGCCCAAAGGUGCCUCCUGCUUCAGAUGUGGCCAGUGCCAGAGAGCCGCCCAUACAGCCAGAGCCAGUUUAACCCCGAAUGGAUUCAGAGACCAAAUGUGUGCUGUGACCAUUUCAUGUGUGUCUCCGUCUUACUUUAAUACAAACUUUACCAUGUGUUGUGAAAUUCACGUCAGCAGGCUCUGCUCCAGUGGCUUAAGUGGUCCCUCACUUGCAUUUGCUGGCAGUGCUCAUACACUCAAAUGAACUCCUGGCCAUAGUGUUCAGUGGGAUUCUCAUCACCCUGGUCACUGCUAAAGAAGAGAGCCUUCGUGUGCCUGGGCUUCCUGCAACAGGAAACCCUCAGGCUUGGCAUCAGCCUCCUCCUUCAGGUAGGAGGUCUGCUAACCCCAGGGUGGACUCUGGGCGGGCGGCAUGGUGGGUUGAUCUUUUGAUGAAUUGCUGAUGACUGAAAACUCUGUGCGUGUGCACACUAGGACUGGAACCCACAUGGGGCCAUGUGCAUACUUGGCAGGCGCUCUGUCACUGCCACACCUGCAGACCUCGGCAUGGGCCUCUGUGCCAUGUCCACUGAGUGUUGGGCGGUGGUCCUGGAGUGUUCUGGUUGAGAAAGGCAGACACACUUAGUGGAGGGUCAUUGAGAGUGGCCUUUAAAGGAGCUGAGUGACCUGCUACUGGCACCUGGCCUGCCACCUUGGAAUGAAGUUACUACCAUGGGGAACCCCACGCUGUGAGUACCCCCCUUUCAAACUUCCAAGCCAAAA
rnacentral:lncRNA from 1 species